rnacentral:siRNA from 1 species
CCUAUGACAGUGUGUGCAAUGC